AUUGAACGCUGGCGGCAGGCCUAACACAUGCAAGUCGAGCGAGCGGCGGACGGGUGAGUAAUGUAUGGGGACUGCCCGAUAGAGGGGGAUAACUACUGGAAACGGUGGCUAAUACCGCAUACUAUCGGAUAACCCAUAUGGGCUUAGCUAGUAGGUGGGGUAAAGGCUCACCAAGCCGACGAACUCUAGCUGGUCUGAGAGGAUGACCAGCCACGCUGGAGCUGAGACACGGUCAAGACGCCUACGGAGGCAGCAGUGGGGAAGAUUGCGGAAUGGGUGCAGCCCAGACGCAGGCAUGCCGCGUGAGUUAGGAGGGACAUCGGGUUGUAAAGUACUUUCGGUUGCGAGGCGUUAGCUACAGAAGAAGCACCGGCUAACUCCGUGCCAGCAGCCGCGGUAAUAC
rnacentral:rRNA from 1 species